UCAAGCUACAAAGAGCACAAGGGGAAUGCCUUGGCACCGAGAGCCGAAGAAGGACGUGACUAACUGCGAUAAGCUGCGGGGAGCCGUAAGUGGGCUUUGAUCCGCAGAUUUCCGAAUGGAGCAAUCCGGCAAGAGGAAAGUCUUGUCAUCAUAUACUGAAUACAUAGGUAUAUGAGGGGAACCGCCUGAACUGAAACAUCUAAGUAGGGCGAGGAAGAGAAAUCAACUGAGAUUCCGUAAGUAGUGGCGAGCGAACGCGGAAGAGGCCAAACCGAGAGUAGUAAUACUUUCGGGGUUCGGACAGAAAACGGUAUUGUAAAGGUUUAGUGGAAUGGAAUGGGAAGUCCAACCGAAGAAGGUGAGAGUCCUGUACACGAAAAGCCUGAACAGCCAUCUGUAUCCAGAGUACCGCCGGACACGUGAAACCCGGUGGGAAUAUGGGGGGACCAUCCUCCAAGCCUAAAUACUACUCGGUGACCGAUAGUGAAGAAGUACUGUGAAGGAAAGGUGAAAAGUACCCCUGACGGGGAGUGAAAAAGAACCUGAAACCUUGUGUUUACAAGCACCGAAAGCUCAUCAAAGAGCGAUCGGGUACCUUUUGUAGAAUGGUCCGGCGAGUGAAUGUAACCGGCGAGGUUAAGCACCUAAGGUGUGAAGCCGCAGCGAGAGCAAGUCUGAAUAGGGCGUAUGAAGUCGGUUGUAUUCGACCCGAAACCGGGUGACCUACCCAUGGUCAGGUUGAAGUAAAGGUAAAACUUUAUGGAGGACCGAACCGACUCCCGUUGAAAUGGUAGCGGAUGAACUGUGGGUAGCGGAGAAAUUCCAAUCGAACCCGGAGAUAGCUGGUUCUCCCCGAAAUAGUUUUAGGACUAGCCUCAAGUUAGAUACCUGGAGGUAAAGCACUGAAUAGCCUAGCGGCCGAGAGGUUAGCGAAGCUUAUCAAACUCAGAAUGCCAGAGUAUUGAUGCUUGGGAGUCAGACAGUGUCAGAUAAAUGUCAUUGUCAAAAGGGAAACAGCCCAGAUCUACAGCUAAGGUCCCAAAGUCAGGUUAAGUGGAAAACGAUGUGAAGAUACGCAGACAACCAGGAUGUUGGCUCAGAAGCAGCCACUCAUUCAAAGAGUGCGUAAUAGCUCACUGGUCGAGCGUCUUUGCGCGGAGAAUUUAACGGGGCUAAACCUGACACCGAAGCUUAGGCAAUACAGCAAUGUAUUGGGUAGGGGAGCGUUGUAUACGCGGUGAAACAGUAGCGCAAGCGGCUGUGGAGUGUAUAGAAGUGAGAAUGCCGGAAUGAGUAGCGCGAAUGCAGUGAGAAUCUGCAUGGCCGAAAGCCUCAGGUUUCUGGAGGAAGGUUCGUCCGCUCCAGGUUAGUCGGGAGCUAAGGUGAGGCCUAACGGCGUAGCCGAUGCACAGACGGUAGAGAUUCCGUCACCACCAAAAGAGUUAAACACAGGGACACAUUUGAAGUCUCGGAGCCGGGUGUUGGUUCCGGUAGCGAUCGAGGGAAAUUAGUACCGAAGUCCGGGAUGGAAGAUGGCGAGAAAAGCUGUGUGUAUUUCUGCGGUGCCCGUACCGCAAACCGACACAGGUAGGUAGGAAGAAGAUUCUAAGGCCAACGGGAGAAGGGUUGUUAAGGAACUCGGCAAGUUGACCCCGUAACUUCGGAAUAAGGGGUGCUCAUGAGAGUGAGCCGCAGAGAAUAGGCCCAGGCAACUGUUUACCAAAAACACAGGUUUGUGCUAAAUCGAAAGAUGACGUAUACGAGCUGACGCCUGCCCGGUGCUGGAAGGUUAAGAGGAGAUGUGCAAGCAUUGAAUCGAAGCCCCAGUGAACGGCGGCCGUAACUAUAACGGUCCUAAGGUAGCGAAAUUCCUUGUCAGGUAAG
rnacentral:rRNA from 1 species